rnacentral:misc_RNA from 1 species
AAGUCGUAACAAGGUAACCGUAGGUGAACCUGCGGUUGGAUCAUUAAUAAAAGAAGAAGGGCUUUAGAGCCCAACUUAUGCUAGUGUCUGUCUAAACAACAGGCCUAGUUAACCCAUUGUGAACCGUUUAUUGUCUCUGGUGGGACUACCUUUUGGUACCCACCAGUUCAUUUAUUAAACCCUGUUUUUAAACCAAGUCUUAUCAAAUGUAAAAAUUUGAAACAACUUUUGACAACGGAUCUCUUGGCUCUC